GCUGUGUACACACAGGCCGUUGGUGGCUGAAAGGCGUCUGUCAGCUGCGUGCCUGCACGUUCCGAUCCCAGGCUGCAGGCAGCCAGCUGGAGCACGUGACCCCAGGAGCAAGCCCUGCUCACUGGGCCACCGGCCUGGGCGGCUGGAUCUCAGCUGGUACAGAGAGGAGCCGGCCUUUGUGUUUGAAGAACCUACAAGAGCCCGGUUUUAUUUAUUUUUAAUCAGCCAUUUCAGUGUGUUCCCUCCAGUCAAAGGCAGAGCCGAGCCCGCGCAGCUCAGGUGGUGGAAGUCUCCCCAUGGUACUCCUCAGAAGAGCUGUCUCUCUAAGAAAAUGAAAAGCCUCCGAGUUCUGGUCAGACCUAGAAUGGAUAAGAAGGAAGGGAGGAGAAGAAACCGGAUAAAGGCAACAGUGUCCCCUGCCUCUGCCCCGCCCCGCCCCUGCCCUACUUCUACCCACGCUCUGCCCCUAGGCCUGCGCAUCCCUAUCCCGACCCUACACCACACUUGUACCAGCCCCCAUCUUCGGCCAUACUCUCUUUGUCCAUACUCAUGUAUCUGACCCCGCCCCAUCCCUACCCAUGUGGGGUUCAGCAGAACAGCUUGGUAGUCACUGUCCAGCCCUGGAGUCCUUGAGCAGGUCAUUGGAGUUCUGAGAGCUCCGAUUUCACCGCUCCAUUUUGCAGACAAGAGCCAUCCAUCAAGUACUUUGUCAGACUGCUAAGCAAAGGAACUAAUUCAUGCCGCGCGAAAACUAUUUCUAUACACGCUGCGACGUAAAACAGAGAAAUGGUACUGUAAAAGUGAUAAAGAGUAUCUAAUAAAAAUACUAUUAUUUAUUUACUUA